rnacentral:lncRNA from 1 species
ACUGCAGGUUUGAAGGUAAUGAGGAACUUAAUGUAUAAAAGGACAAAAAGAGUCGUAAUGGCAAAAGUAUUAUCAGUUGAGUUUCAGCCAGGGUAAAGGAACACUCUGUACCCGGCCUGAGUCAGUCAGAAGUCUGGGCUCUGGACUGAGUUGCUAGUAGUGACUUUCAGGUUUUCUAAGAUCCAAGAGCUAUACAUUUGCAGCUUCCAGGACACCAAAAAGGACUGGGCAGAAAGACAUGGUGCUCACACAGUCAUUGAGUGUCUGCUGGUGCACUACAGAAACCACAAAACUUACAAUUCACUGACUGAUGGAAGAGAGCCAGGGAGGUGAGUUACAGGAAUCUGCCUUUGCUCAUUCCCCAGCAGUGGAGUUACAGACCACUGUGGCCACUUUAGCUUUGAUAUGGGUGAAGACCUGAGCUCAGGUACUCAUGUUUUGUGCUUAAUGAAGGUUUUGCAGCAGAAGAGGCUGUUCUAUUACCUUGGUUCCACCACGAUUUUCAAGAUGAGAGUACCCAGCUUGAUGAAGACUCAAGUAGCACAUAAUGAAGUCAAGACCCAGGCCAGGAUAACAAAGGGAGCCGCUGAAGUCUGUUCUGAAGGCACCAUGACAAAGCACCAGACAGAAAGCGGUCACGUGUGGGGAGAUGAGCAGACACCACUUCGCGGGCACCUGAUUAUUCUUUUCUCGGGAUUUAGAAGCAAAAAUUACCCUACGGAAAACAGUUGCAUAUGCAAAACCACAAAUCGCUCAGUGUUAUAAAUGGCACAGUGUAUGCAGAUAAAUCCCCACGCACAGCUCUGAAAAUAUGCCCAGCAGAGGAGAAAUACUGCACAGCUUGUCUUUCCACACGCCGGAUUGCUGCUCUGUUCUUCCAUGGUAUUGUUUAAUCCAAGAAUGAUAAGGACCUUUUAUUUGUAUGUUUGGAGCUUGCUGCUACUUUAAAAAAAAAAAUCACAGUUUUUCUACAGGCAGAAGGAUGGUCAAGAUGAGCUGCAGCAGCUCCUCCUAGCCAGCUUUAUUUGGAACGUGGAAGACAAGAGCUCAUCCUGUUGGAUGCAUAGAGAAGCAAAUUGGCAAAGAUCGGGAGAAGGUAACAGGCUGUUUUAAAGAGCUAUGUAAAAGAAAACGUCUGAAUUCAAAGGAGGUCAGAUUCUUCAUUGACCCAGGGCGUCAGAAAGGGAAGCCGGCAUGUGCAAUCUUGUCCUCUUUCAUUUUUACCUCCAUGGUCAAAAAGCCGCACCAGAAUGAACACUGUAAAGAAUUUGCUUUCUUCCCUCAGCUUGAGCAUGGAGGAAUUAGCUCCCUGGAUUUCGAGAGGGAAAGGCUGAAGAGGAAGGUGACUGGAAUAUUAAGGACUGUCAGAUAUUCGGAGGAAACUCUAAUUUGUAAAUUGGUAGAAAUGCCAGUAAUUUGUUGGGAAUUGAAGACCUUCUGUAUUCACAAGUGAAGCUUGGCAGCUGUGCACUGUUGUUUUGUAAAUCAAUAUUACAUC